GCGGCUUGGACUGAUUGCACUCCUGGUUUCAACCGUGAUCAGUUGGAUAGAUGGAUGGACGAAAAUAGAAUCCCAGAAUGGGUUCUGGGAGCUAAAUAGAAAGAAGAAGGCCCAGAGGCACAGACAGAAGUCCCCCAGAGAUACAGAGGUUGUGGGGGAGAGGAGGAGAAACAGUGAGAGGAAGAGAAAAAAGACCCCAAAUGGGAAAACUGCCAAGGAGGAAGGGCCUAGGAGAGUGACGAAUGAUGGAGAGAGCUCAUAACCUCCUUUUCAGCUGGUCUGAGGGAGCAGAGAAAUUGGAUCACGAAAACUGGUAGGAGAAGCUAGGAGAAGGGCCGGGAGAAGACAGUGUAUCUGAUGACCCAGCCUGAGGCUUGGAAUUAGAUGAUGAUUCUUCCCAACACAGCGCCGAGGAUGAGGGAGAAAGCUGUUCUCAACAGGGAGCUCACCUCUCCUGGCCCUCCUAUCACAGAGCUUGGACCCACAGGUUCUCCCUCCCUAUGAACUUCUCCAGGACCUUCUUAUAGAUACAUCGGAAAAGAUAUAUCAAAAUGUCCUUCUGGAGAAGUGUGGCCUGGUGAAGACACGGAGUGGAUAGUUUGUACUAGGAGACCCAAGGAUUCCAAUUGGCACAUGGCUGUAGGUCUCCAAAGGUGGCUUCUGAUACUGCAACCCCAAGAAACAGCAGCCUCUUCAGGUCUGUCGCUGCUCUGUAUCAAUGAUUUGGAUGACAAUCAAGAAAGCAUUUCAUCAAGCGUAUGGAUGUUUGAAAGAUGGAAUUCACAGACAAGGUAAAGUCAAAAUCAGGUUCUUCUUACUCCUUCAAUGGCCACCUUCCUCCUACAGAUGAAGCAGCCUUGCAGAUUUCUUCUUCCUUCCUUCCUGUCUGCUUCUGAGUCAGUUCACCCCAAUGCCUGUGUCAUUAUUGCCCAUACCACCUGAACCCUCUGACUUACAGAAUUCCAGUCUGCAUUUACUCCUCAGAGUGCCCCUAACACAAGACAAUUGUGUGGAGCAGAUUUUUACUGACAUUUUGGGGAGUAGCAGAAGAUAUUUGGAGCAUAGAGCAGAAAACAACUUCAAAUUAGAAGUCAGAUACCAAACCCUAGAAAUAUACAGUUUGUGGCUCCUCCCUGUGUGUCAGCAGCCGGCAGCAUCUCUUGGUUUCCUCCACUGGCCCUACUUGAGG